CAUAUAAGUUUACCCCCUGAGUCUGUAAUGACAUGGAAAAGAGAAGGAAUGUUUUUGGGUAGUAUGUCACAUACAACGCCAAAGGUUAUUCACAGAGGUGUACUAGGAAAGGUGGAUUGGUCGGAAGAAAUGUUUGUUUUCUAUUUAGACAAUCCUACCUACAGUGAUAGUGGAAACUAUCAAUGUUGUAUAAUGUUAAGAAAUCAUCACGAGAGAUGUGGUGAUGUUAAGGUAAAUGUAUUCUCUCCCAGAAUGGUAGAAUGCAAAAAUAAGGUUUUUAAGUUAUCAAGUCCC